AGCACUACCUCGCUGAUACGGUGGUGGAUCCGAAGCCUCUAGAAGAUUAACAUAGGCUCUCCACCUCCUUCACCAACUCAAUACGUUCCCGUCGUACAGAACGGUAACAUGUCUCAAUUAUCCAAGCUAGGAUAUACGGGGAAAUCCAACCCCUUGGGCGGAUGGGUUGCAUGGCUAAAUUGAGAGGA
rfam:Anopheles gambiae str. PEST whole genome shotgun sequencing project, whole genome shotgun sequence.